ensembl:rRNA 5S_rRNA 5S ribosomal RNA
GUCUAUGGCCAUACCACCCUGAACAUACCUGAUCUCGUGAGAUCUUGGAAGCAAAGCAGGGUCAGGCCUGUUUAGUACUUGGAUGGGAGACCGCCUAGGAAUACCGAGUGCUGUAGGCC